rnacentral:rRNA from 1 species
UACGUAGGUGGCAAGCGUUGUUCGGAAUUAUUGGGCGUAAAGAGCGUGUAGGCGGCCUGACAGGUCUGCUGUGAAAACUCGAGGCUCAACCUCGAGAUGUCGGCGGAAACCGUCUGGCUAGAGUCCGGAAGAGGAGAGUGGAAUUCCAGGUGUAGCGGUGAAAUGCGUAGAUAUCUGGAGGAACACCGGUGGCGAAGGCGGCAUCCUGGACCGGUAUUGACGCUGAGGCGCGAAAGCCAGGGGAGCAAACGGG